rnacentral:other from 1 species
CGAAUCCUGAUGUGUUUGUCUAACUGCUAACUAUAUUAAACAGUUUUGACCAACACUAUAUCGUCGGGAGCCUUCCAUUUUGUAGUUGCAAACAUGCCCCAUACGGAGAGGGAAGUUUAACGCUAUGAAGCGGGCACCCACCUGCAAAUUGCGGGUUCAAAACGAAUGUUUCAUCGGCAUUACGGCACUAUC